rnacentral:rRNA from 1 species
AGUGAACGCUGGCGGUAGGCCUAACACAUGCAAGUCGAACGGCAGCACAGUAAGAGCUUGCUCUUACGGGUGGCGAGUGGCGGACGGGUGAGGAAUACAUCGGAAUCUACUUUUUCGUGGGGGAUAACGUAGGGAAACUUACGCUAAUACCGCAUACGACCUACGGGUGAAAGCAGGGGAUCUUCGGACCUUGCGCGACUGAAUGAGCCGAUGUCGGAUUAGCUAGUUGGCGGGGUAAAGGCCCACCAAGGCGACGAUCCGUAGCUGGUCUGAGAGGAUGAUCAGCCACACUGGAACUGAGACACGGUCCAGACUCCUACGGGAGGCAGCAGUGGGGAAUAUUGGACAAUGGGCGCAAGCCUGAUCCAGCCAUACCGCGUGGGUGAAGAAGGCCUUCGGGUUGUAAAGCCCUUUUGUUGGGAAAGAAAAGCAGCAGGUUAAUACCCCGCUGUUCUGACGGGACCCAAAGAAUAAGCACCGGCUAACUUCG